GGAUCAAAUUGUUGGUCGUGCUUCGGUACGCACUGGCAUUAUUGGUUUCUACCUUCUGAAGAACCGCGAUGUCAUUAAUUUGGUGUCGUGGGGAAUCAGGACUGUUACUUUGAAAAUUAGAGUGUUUAAAGCAGGCGCACGCUUGAAUACAUUAGCAUGGAAUAAUGAAAUAGGACGUUUGAUUCUAUUUUGUUGGUUUCUAGGAUCACCGUAAUGAUUAAUAGG
rnacentral:rRNA from 1 species